rnacentral:rRNA from 1 species
GACGAACGCUGGCGGCGUGCUUAACACAUGCAAGUCGAACGGUGACGACAGGGCUUGCCCUGUCUGAUCAGUGGCGAACGGGUGAGUAACACGUGAGUAACCUGCCCCUGACUCUGGGAUAACCCCGGGAAACCGGAGCUAAUACCGGAUACGACACCGGCCCGCAUGGGCAUGGUGUGGAAAGUUUUUUCGGUCUGGGAUGGACUCGCGGCCUAUCAGCUUGUUGGUGAGGUAAUGGCUCACCAAGGCGACGACGGGUAGCCGGCCUGAGAGGGCGACCGGCCACACUGGGACUGAGACACGGCCCAGACUCCUACGGGAGGCAGCAGUGGGGAAUAUUGCACAAUGGGCGGAAGCCUGAUGCAGCGACGCCGCGUGAGGGAUGACGGCCUUCGGGUUGUAAACCUCUUUCAGCAGGGAAGAAGCGCAAGUGACGGUACCUGCAGAAGAAGCACCGGCUAACUACGUGCCAGCCGCCGCGGUAAGAC